AACUUUAUUUUGAUAUGAAUUUCAAGAUUUCUUAUAUGCAAAGUACUGUUACGGCCAAACAAACGGUAUAAAAACGGAACAGACAUAACAAAUAUUGAACAAUAUAAGUGGUCUCCUCCGUCCAUGGGUGUCAUAAAGCGCGUAACAGUGAUGGAGCAUGCAUGGGAGAAGGAUGCACGUGUAAGUGGAUUGGGCUGGGUUUUCAUAGACUCCUAGGGUGUUUGUGAUAUUGUUUGGAAAGAUGUCGAGUAACCGAACGCUCACGCAAAAAAAAAAAAUAUGAAAAAAAAACAUUUCCUUACAAUCGUUUCAAUUAUUUGUAUCGAGUAACUGGAGUGGGUUACGUCUGCACAUGCUUCAUUUCAAAUGUGUCGCCAAAAGUUAAAUAAUACAAUCACACGAAUGUAUUUAUUUUUUCAGUGUAUUUUUUCAGUAUACAAUAUUUUUAAAAAGAGCUUAUAACCAGCGGGGUUAGCCUAGUGGUCUUGAGAGAGCUUCGGCCCCAAUACGGAUCCGGGUUCGAUUCCCGUUGGCCACCAGAAAAUUCACAUGCGGACUUGCUCUGGCGCCCGAGACCGAAGGCCACUGUCUGGGUGUUGAACCCGCUAAGGACUCGGUCUCUAGUCUGGACCACCACGGUGGAACCAGGACACUCGGUUAUCAAAAAAAAAAAAAAAAAGAGCUUAUAUAAUAUCUUGCAAAUGGUAGGAGAUAACACCGCAUGUUUUGUUUUUCUACUUUUGGGAACUGGUGAUCACUGUGCUGCAGCCUCUUUAUAAAUGAUGUAUAUAUCUACUAAAAUGUUUUUUGAAAUCAAUUAGUUGUGAUCAGAUGAUAGUUAACCAAUUAGCGAUAAUUACGGAUACAUAUGCUUCUUCUUUUUUAACACUAGGAAUACAUAUGCUAGCUUAUCAAAAUCAAAUAUGAAACAGGUUUUGUAGCCUAAUGAUUAAAACCAAAUCCAGAAUCUCACUAAGAGCUCGAAGAUCGGUGAAUCAAAGCCGGAAAGGUGAUUGGAUAGAAAGAGAGCCACCUUCUAGAAUCCUAGAUUCGUGAUGAUUGAUAGAUGAUAUACAUCACAGAUGAUGAUGAUCGAGUGAGAGAGAGAAAAGAACGAAGAGAUCAAAGAAGAAGAUAAUUUGUAACGACCCUAAUCCGGUAUUUGCUUUCUUAACCGGUUUGGUUUCAAUAAUAAUUUUAAUAAACCAAGCCAAAUUAUUUUCCUUCUCCACUGCGUUUUGGUAUAUGUAUAUAUACGCCCAACGUGUGUGUAUCUCCUUCAUUUUAAACCUAGCCGUCAAAGUGGAGAACUGAAAGAAGUCUUCAGCCUUUCCGUUCACCUCCAUCUCUGAUAUGGAGGUACGUUGCACCGGACUCGAUUGCACGUGAGCAAUGACUGCGUCACCGUCUCAUCACCACCGGACGUGAGCUGUACAUCUCCGGAGAUCCAUGUCGCCAAAGUCCUAGUCGCCCUCAUCACCACUUGUCAAAUCCAAGGCCAGCUUUAUCUUUGUUCAUGGGAUGAUCGUCAGAAUCCGCUCUUCCCUUACGUUCAUGUCAUAUUUAAUAAUUUCAUGUUGUGUCCUUUGGUCAAUCGUGAAGGUUUAAGUGCUUUUGUCCUUGUUUCUUGUACAACAAGUUGUUGUAACCCUAGCCUUAUUAAUUAAUAUUUUGUAUUUUUGCCGAGCUUGCGUUUGAUCUGCCUUUAUGCGCCAUUGAAGAGAGAUCAAGACCCAGGGAGAAACCCUGAGCUUUCUUGUUGCUCAUGUCAUCUCGUUAUUUCCUGUCAUGUUAUCAAUUUCCCGAUAUUGGCUAAGGUGAACAUGACGAGUAGUUGGAUAUGUGGACGGAUUGGUGUCUUGGAAUCGUUGUAUUUUAUUUCAGUUUUAAAUAACUUUUCGAUUUAA